AACGAACGCUGGCGGCGCGCCUAAUACAUGCAAGUCGAGCGAGAAGGUGUAGCAAUACACUUGUAAAGCGGCGAACGGGUGAGGAAUGCAUGGGUAACCUACCCUCGAGUGGGGAAUAACUAGCCGAAAGGUUAGCUAAUACCGCAUACGUUUCCGGAACUUCGGUUUCGGAAAGAAAGCAAUACCGUGGGUAUUGCGCUCCUGGAUGGGCUCAUGUCCUAUCAGCUUGUUGGUGAGGUAACGGCUCACCAAGGCUUCGACGGGUAGCUGGUCUGAGAGGACGAUCAGCCACACUGGCACUGCGACACGGGCCAGACUCCUACGGGAGGCAGCAGUAAGGAAUAUUGCGCAAUGGACGAAAGUCUGACGCAGCGACGCCGCGUGGGGGGAUGAAGGUCUUCGGAUUGUAAACCCCUUUCGGGAGGAAGAUGGAGUGGGUAACCACUUGGACGGUACCUCCAGAAGCAGCCACGGCUAACUUCGUGCCAGCAGCCGCGGUAAU
rnacentral:rRNA from 1 species